CCAGCCACCUGGCAGGGGAGAUACCAUGAUCACAAAAGUGGUUUUCCCCGGGGGAGGCUCAACCAUUGCACUCUGGGUGUGCUGAUCCCUGCAAUUUCCCCCAAUGUGGGAAACUCGACUGCAUAAUUUGUGGUAGCGGGGGACUGCAUUUGCACUAUAAUGACCUUUG